CAUACAUGCAAGUCGAACGAGAAUCUGACUUCGGUCAGAGGAAAGUGGCGGACGGGUGAGUAAAAUGUAGAGAAUCUGCCCUAGAGAGAGGGACAACAGUUGGAAACGACUGCUAAUACCUCAUAUGCGCGUAGCUGAGAUGCUAUUCGUGAAAACUCCGGUGCUCUGGGAUGAGUCUGCAUCUGAUUAGCUAGUUGGCGGUGUAAUGGACCACCAAGGCGACGAUCAGUAGCUGGUUUGAGAGGAUGAUCAGCCACAAUGGGACUGAGACACGGCCCAUACUCCUACGGGAGGCAGCAGUAGGGAAUUUUGCGCAAUGGGGGAAACCCUGACGCAAGCAACGCCGCGUGAUUGAAUAAGCCCUUCGGGGUGUAAAGAUCUGUCAGUAGGGACGAAACUUGACGGUACCUACAGAGGAAGCAUCGGCUAACUCCGUGCCAGCCGCUGC
rnacentral:rRNA from 1 species